GAUAAACGCUGGCGGCGUGCAUGAGACAUGCAAGUCGAACGAAGGAUCGGGCUUGCUCGAUCCUUAGUGGCGGACGGCUGAGUAACGCGUAGGUGACCUACCCCGAAGUGGGGAAUAACUGCCCGAAAGGGUGGCUAAUACCGCAUGUGGUCGCACGUUCAUUCGUGCGAGUAAAGCCGCAAGGCGCUUCGGGAGGGGCCUGCGUCCGAUUAGCUCGUUGGUGGGGUAAUGGCUUACCAAGGCGACGAUCGGUAGGUGGUCUGAGAGGACGAUCACCCAGACUGGGACUGAGACACGGCCCAGACUCCUACGGGAGGCAGCAGUCGGGAAUUUUGCUCAAUGGGGGAAACCCUGAAGCAGCAACGCCGCGUGAGGGAUGAAGGCCUUCGGGUUGUAAACCUCCUUUGUCAGGGACGAUGAUGACGGUACCUGGCGAAUAAGCCACGGCUAACUACGUG
rnacentral:rRNA from 1 species